UACGGGGGGAGCAAGCGUUGUUCGGAUUUACUGGGCGUAAAGGGCGCGUAGGCGGCCACCGCAAGUCGAUUGUGAAAUCUCCGGGCUUAACCCGGAAAGGUCAACGAUACUGCGGGGCUAGAGUGCAGAAGGGGCAACUGGAAUUCUCGGUGUAGCGGUGAAAUGCGUAGAUAUCGAGAGGAACACCUGCGGCGAAGGCGGGUUGCUGGGCUGACACUGACGCUGAAGUGCGAAAGCUAGGGGAGCGAACGGG
rnacentral:rRNA from 1 species